rnacentral:rRNA from 1 species
GUUAUCCGGAAUUAUUGGGCGUAAAGGGUGAGUAGGUGGUGUUGUUAGUCGAGUGUCAAAAUCCCAGGCUUAACUUGGGAACCGCAUUCGAAACGGCAAUACUUGAGGGUAGGAGGGGUGUACAGAACUCAUGGUGUAGGGGUGAAAUCCGUUGAUAUCAUGGGGAAUACCAAAAGCGAAGGCAGUACACUGGCCUGCAUCUGACACUGAAUCACGAAAGCGUGGGUAGCGAAAAGGAUUAGAUACCCUUGUAGUCCACGCCCUAAACGAUGAUCUCUCGCUAUUCGGAGUAUCGACCCUCUGAGUGGCUUAGCUAACGCGUUAAGAGAUCCGCCUGGGAAGUACGGCCGCAAGGCUAAAACUCAAAGGAAUAGACGGGGACUUGCACAAGCAGUGGAUUAUGUGGUUUAAUUCGAUGGUAAACGAAGAACCUUACCAGGGUUAGAAAUCCUAUUGAAAUCCUUUAGAAACAUUGGACCUCGCAAGACAAUAGGACAGGUGAUGCAUGGCCGUCGUCAGUUCGUGGUUUGAAUUGUACCCUUAAGUGGGCUAACGAACGCAACCCUCGUUGUGUGUUACAAGUGUCACACGAGACCGCCCCCACCUAAGCGCACGAAGUGCGCUAGUAGAAAGUGUAAAGUUAUAAAGUUCUUAAAGUAAAUGCAUUUGUAUUUUACUUUCUACUUUUAACUUUUUACUUUAUAACUAGCCUAAAUUCGCUUCGCGAAUUUAGGUGGGGGAGGAAGGAGAGGAUGACGCCAGGUCAGCAUGUCCCUCUGAUACCCUGGGCUACACACAUAAUACAAUGGCCGUUACAACGCGCAGCGACGAGGCGACUCUGAGCUAAUCGUUUAAAAGCGGCCCCAGUUCGGAUUGGAGUCUGCAACUUGACUCCAUGAAGUUGGAAUUGCUAGUAAUCGCGGGUCAGCUAUACCGCGGUGAAUACGUUCUCAAGUCUUGUACUCACAAUAAAAGCGCGCAGCAGCGCAUAUAUCUAAGUG